rnacentral:rRNA from 1 species
GAGUUUGAUCGUGGCUCAGGACGAACGCUGGCGGCGCGCCUAACACAUGCAAGUCGAACGGAGUUAAUUUUGUUGAAGUUUUCGGAUGGAUACGAAGUUAACUUAGUGGCGAACGGGUGAGUAACGCGUGAGUAACCUGCCCCGAAGUGGGGGACAACAGUUGGAAACGACUGCUAAUACCGCAUAAGCCCACGGCACCGCAUGGUGCUGAGGGAAAAGGACUUCGGUUUGCUUCGGGAUGGACUCGCGUCCAAUUAGCUAGUUGGUGAGGUAACGGCCCACCAAGGCGACGAUUGGUAGCCGGACUGAGAGGUUGAACGGCCACAUUGGGACUGAGACACGGCCCAGACUCCUACGGGAGGCAGCAGUGGGGGAUAUUGCACAAUGGGGGAAACCCUGAUGCAGCGACGCCGCGUGGAGGAAGAAGGUUUUCGGAUUGUAAACUCCUGUCGUACGGGACGAUAAUGACGGUACCGUACAAGAAAGCCACGGCUAACUACGUGCCAGCCGCCGCCGU